GGUCCAGUGGCCUAGUGGUUAGAGCAUUCACCUCAGAUGUGGGAGAUUGUGGGUUCGAUCCCAGGUCGAGUUGUACCA